GAUGAACGCUGGCGGCGUGCUUAACACAUGCAAGUCGAACGAGAAAUGUAGACGGACACCUUCGGGCGGAAGCCUUCAUUUCGAGUGGCGGACGGGUGAGUAACGCGUGGGUAUCCUGCCUCAUACAGGGGGAUAACAGUUGGAAACAACUGUUAAUACCGCAUAAGACCACAGCAUCGCAUGAUGCGGGGGUAAAAACUCCGGUGGUAUGAGAUGGACCCGCGUUCGAUUAGCCAGUUGGCGGGGUAACGGCCCACCAAAGCGACGAUCGAUAGCCGAUCUGAGAGGAUGACCGGCCACAUUGGGACUGAGACACGGCCCAAACUCCUACGGGAGGCAGCAGUGGGGAAUAUUGCACAAUGGGGGAAACCCUGAUGCAGCGACGCCGCGUGAGUGAAGAAGUACUUCGGUAUGUAAAGCUCUAUCAGCAGGGAAGAAAAUGGCGGUACCUGAGUAAGAAGCCCCGGCUAACUACGUG
rnacentral:rRNA from 1 species